CCAGCCCCCGUCUUCAACCUCCAUAGCUUACGGGAGGAAUUGCACAUGCACUCCCGCACCAUCCGGUCGAAGCUCCCGGGGAUAACGUUUAUCCCCACAACUCGGCAUCGCCCAGCCGCGCCUAUAUAAAGCCCUGAGGCUCCUCGUUCCAUUCAGCUGUUUCGCAUCUCCCUACGCCACUCACAGCUGCUGCCGUGUCCAUUUGCAUCUCGCCGGCCGAACCAAGUUCGCCGAAGGAUUCCGUCUCCGAGACGACCCCGAGCCGUCGGAGUUCGCCGGAGCACCGGAGCUCCACCACCUAGCCCCGCUCCAUUCAGACACCGCCGCCACCCCGCGACACCAUCGUGUGGCAGCCCCCAUCGAGCGGCACCUUGUCGUCCCCUUCGCCCACGCCGGAGCCCGCCACAGCCGCCGCCCCUUUCCACGCUGCUCGCCACCAUCCCUGCCCGACCACGAUGCAAGCAUCGUCGCCUCUAUUGUGCGGAGUGUUAAGUCGAGUACUAUCAUUCCCAGCUCUACUCCGAGUGCCAAGGCAAGUCUACAUCUUGAUCAUACCAGAUUUUACCUAUGUUUUUAUAUGCACAUAGUCCUUUUGUAGUAGGAUUGCAUGGUAGGAAAUUUUCCGGAUGGCUUUGCUUGCACCCGGUAGUUCAUUUGAGGUAGGUUUGAACCGUACAACUUUGUCGCCACCAUGUUAAAUUAUUAAUGCUUUGUCAAAGUAGGCGUGCAUUGGGGAGUUCUCCGGCAGAACAACGGCGUGGUGGUGGUGGUGGCAGUGUGAUCUCAGCAGAGCUUUGCCAAGCGUUGCGGUAGACACGUUUCGGAUGAGAAAUCGAUCUAGGGAGAGAGGUUUAUUUGAAGAGGGAGAAUUCAGGCAGCAGGAAU